rnacentral:lncRNA from 1 species
CCACUCUGCAGGGAGAGAUGCCAGGGUAGAAGGCCACUCUGCAGGGAGAGAUGCCAGGGUACAAGGCCACUCUGCAGGGAGAGAUGCCAGGGUAGAAGGCCACUCUGCAGGGAGAGAUGCCAGGGUAGAAGGCCACUCUGCAGGGAGAGAUGCCAGGGUAGAAGGGCUCUCUGCAGGGAGAGAUGCCAGGGUAGAAGGCCACUCUGCAGGGAGAGAUGCCAGGGUACAAGGCCACUCUGCAGGGAGAGAUGCCAGGGUACAAGGCCACUCUGCAGGGAGAGAUGCCAGGGUAGAAGGGCUCUCUGCAGGGAGAGAUGCCAGGGUAGAAGGCCACUCUGCAGGGAGAGAUGCCAGGGUAGAAGGCCACUCUGCAGGGAGAGAUGCCAGGGUACAAGGCCACUCUGCAGGGAGAGAUGCCAGGGUACAAGGCCACUCUGCAGGGAGAGAUGCCAGGGUAGAAGGGCUCUCUGCAGGGAGAGAUGCCAGGGUAGAAGGGCUCUCUGCAGGGAGAGAUGCCAGGGUAGAAGGGCUCUCUGCAGGGAGAGGUGGAGACACGUUACACACACGCUCCUGUGUGUGAAGAGAAAUGUAAAUAAAGACUUCCUUGCUCUUUAUAUUUAUUACAUCCUGAAAAUAACCUUCAGCAAAUAGGCUAACAGGUCAGAGCUUUACAACGCUGUGAAGACUGAGUACAUCUGUUCCUAACUUUGUUUAGACAUGCGCACAGAGACACAAGAGAGACACAAGAGAGACACAAGAGAGAGAAGAGAGAAGAG